rnacentral:rRNA from 1 species
GUGGGGAAUAUUGGGCAAUGGGCGAAAGCCUGACCCAGCAACGCCGCGUGAAGGAAGAAGGCUUUCGGGUUGUAAACUUCUUUUGUCAGGGACGAAAAAAAUGACGGUACCUGACGAAUAAGCCACGGCUAACUACGUGCCAGCAGCCGCGGUAAUACGUAGGUGGCAAGCGUUAUCCGGAUUUACUGGGUGUAAAGGGCGUGUAGGCGGGAAAGCAAGUCAGAUGUGAAAACUAUGGGCUCAACCCAUAGCCUGCAUGUGAAACUGUUGUUCUUGAGUGUCGGAGAGGUAAUCGGAAUUCCGUGUGUAGCGGUGAAAUGCGUAGAUAUACGGAGGAACACCAGUGGCGAAGGCGGAUUACUGGACGAUAACUGACGCUGAGGCGCGAAAGCGUGGGGAGCAAACAGGAUUAGAUACCCUUGUAGUCC